AUACGUAGGUGGCAAGCGUUGUCCGGAAUUAUUGGGCGUAAAGCGCGCGCAGGUGGUUCCUUAAGUCUGAUGUGAAAGCCCCCGGCUCAACCGGGGAGGGUCAUUGGAAACUGGGGAACUUGAGUGCAGAAGAGGAUAGUGGAAUUCCAAGUGUAGCGGUGAAAUGCGUAGAGAUUUGGAGGAACACCAGUGGCGAAGGCGAGUGUGUGGUCUGUAACUGACACUGAGGCGCGAAAGCGUGGGGAGCAAACAGGAUUAGAUACCCUGGUAGGCCACGCCGUAAACGAUGAGUGCUAAGUGUUGGGGGGUUUCCGCCCCUCAGUGCUGCAGCUAACGCAUUAAGCACUCCGCCUGGGGAGUACGGUCGCAAGACUGAAACUCAAAUGAAUUGACGGGG
rnacentral:rRNA from 1 species